rnacentral:lncRNA from 1 species
UACUGGUAUGUCGAAAGCAACACAUUAAUCGGAUAUAGUGGUAGAGCCACGCACCACGAGAUGUCUAAAACAAAAUGCCUCUAGAUCCAAUGAUCGAAUGAGCCGAAUGACAAAUUCAAUAUUUAUCAAGAUAGAUUUGGGAAGAAGAAAUAAGAAUUCCAACUGAAAUAAAGCUAUUAUGCAUCUUACCAAUUGCUAAAAUAAAGCUAUUAUGUCACAAUCCGUAUUGAGAUUGCUCAUUAGAAACAUUGAGUCACAUCAUAGAACAUAAAACUGGAAUGGUUUGAUAGUAGCUUGAAGAAUAGUGAGGCUGUUAGGGUCUUCCACUGCAUAGUUGCACCUCUCCCAAAAAGUUCGCUAGUUUGAAGAGCAGACCUCAAUACAGGUACAAGUUCAAGAGCUCUAAACAUAAAUGAAUUUCACAAAUAAUGCACGAGAUAACUAAAUUUGAAGAAACUACAAUCCCUACAAAAGGGCAUCUUAGACAAAAAUGAGACAAUAUCUUGUCCAGUUCAACCUGCAUGAAUUAUGGAACAAUUUGGACCUAAUUACUGUGUUCCUUUGUUUUGGAAAGCUAGCAGAAUUUUCAUGUCAUGUGAGUUUUAUUUGAUGCAAGUACAAAGGCUGCUAAGUGCUAACA